rnacentral:piRNA from 1 species
UGCUUGCAGACUUGUAGAGGUACCAC